rnacentral:rRNA from 1 species
GACGAACGCUGGCGGCGUGCUUAACACAUGCAAGUCGAACGGGCCUGUCUUCUUUUUUGGGGGGUGGGUUGAGUGGCGAACGGGUGAGUAUCACGUGAGUAACCUGCCCUUCGGUCCUGGAUAACCGCUUGAAAGGGCGGCUAAUACGGGGUGGUCCGGUUGGUCCGCAUGGGCUGGUCGGGAUAGAUUCACUGUUUUUGGUGUUUCGGCGGGGGAUGGGCUCGCGGCCUAUCAGCUUGUUGGUGGGGUGAUGGCCUACCAAGGCGGUGACGGGUAGCCGGCCUGAGAGGGUGGGCGGCCAAACUGGGACUGAGAUACGGCCCAGACUCCUGCGGGAGGCAGCAGUGGGGGGUAUUGCACAAUGGGCGGAAGCCUGAUGCAGUGACGUCGCGUGAGGGAUGGAGGCCUUCGGGUUGUGAACCUCUGUUUCCGGUGGUGAAGGCCCUGUCCGUGUGGUGGGGUUGACGGUAGCCGGGGAUGAAGCGCCGGCUAACUACGUG